AUGGGGCAGCAAUCUAGUUUUGUUGAGUGUUGAUGGCACAACUAUUGAUGCAGUGAACAUGUUCAAUAUUAACAUGUUGAAGCAAUGGUUCAACAGAAGUUUCUGCUCAAAAGUGGUGGAAUAACAAGAAAAUAAAUAUACAUGCCUACAAGAAUGGGCAGGGGAGGUGUUUUUGCAGAAGCAGUAGAAUUGGAAGGUUCUCUCGUAUCCACUGCAGCUAAAAGUUUAGCAAUAAUAAAUUUCUUUUCUAGAUAAUUACUAACAGCUAUACUACAUAAAAUGAUUCAGAUUUCACUGUAUGAAAAUUGUAUAGAAUUUUUCAGUCUCCUUUUACUUGACCGGACUAGACCAAUGAAAACGGACCAAGAUUUU
rnacentral:lncRNA from 1 species